UUACCGAGUUUACAACUCCCAAACCCCUGUGAACAUACCAAUUGUUGCCUCGGCGGAUCAGCCCGCUCCCGGUAAAACGGGACGGCCCGCCAGAGGACCCCUAAACUCUGUUUCUAUAUGUAACUUCUGAGUAAAACCAUAAAUAAAUCAAAACUUUCAACAACGGAUCUCUUGGUUCUGGCAUCGAUGAAGAACGCAGCAAAAUGCGAUAAGUAAUGUGAAUUGCAGAAUUCAGUGAAUCAUCGAAUCUUUGAACGCACAUUGCGCCCGCCAGUAUUCUGGCGGGCAUGCCUGUUCGAGCGUCAUUUCAACCCUCAAGCCCAGCUUGGUGUUGGGACUCGCGAGUCAAAUCGCGUUCCCCAAAUUGAUUGGCGGUCACGUCGAGCUUCCAUAGCGUAGUAGUAAAACCCUCGUUACUGGUAAUCGUCGCGGCCACGCCGUUAAACCCCAACUUCUGAAUGUUGACCUCGGAUCAGGUAGGAAUACCCGCUGAACUUAAGCAUAUCAAUAAGCGGAGGAAAAGAAACCAACAGGGAUUGCCCUAGUAACGGCGAGUGAAGCGGCAACAGCUCAAAUUUGAAAUCUGGCUCUCGGGCCCGAGUUGUAAUUUGUAGAGGAUACUUUUGAUGCGGUGCCUUCCGAGUUCCCUGGAACGGGACGCCAUAGAGGGUGAGAGCCCCGUCUGGUUGGAUGCCAAAUCUCUGUAAAGUUCCUUCGACGAGUCGAGUAGUUUGGGAAUGCUGCUCUAAAUGGGAGGUAUAUGUCUUCUAAAGCUAAAUACCGGCCAGAGACCGAUAGCGCACAAGUAGAGUGAUCGAAAGAUGAAAAGCACUUUGAAAAGAGAGUUAAAAAGUACGUGAAAUUGUUGAAAGGGAAGCGUUUAUGACCAGACUUGGGCUUGGUUAAUCAUCUGGGGUUCUCCCCAGUGCACUUUUCCAGUCCAGGCCAGCAUCAGUUUUCGCCGGGGGAUAAAGACUUCGGGAAUGUGGCUCUCUUCGGGGAGUGUUAUAGCCCGUUGUGUAAUACCCUGGCGGGGACUGAGGUUCGCGCAUC
rnacentral:rRNA from 1 species